rnacentral:rRNA from 1 species
UACGUAGGUGGCGAGCGUUAUCCGGAAUGAUUGGGCGUAAAGGGUGCGUAGGCGGCCUGCUAGGUCUGGAGUGAAAGGUACCGGCUCAACCGGUACAGGCUCUGGAAACUGGCGGGCUAGAGAGCAGGAGAGGGCGGUGGAACUCCAUGUGUAGCGGUAAAAUGCGUAGAUAUAUGGAAGAACACCAGUGGCGAAGGCGAUUCUCUGGACUGUAACUGACGCUGAGGCUCGAAAGCGUGGGGAGCAAACAGG